rnacentral:tRNA from 1 species
GGAGAGGUGCCAGAGUGGUCGAUUGGGUCUGACUCGAAAUCAGAUGUACGCUUUUUGGCGUACCGUGGGUUCGAAUCCCACCCUCUCCG